rnacentral:rRNA from 1 species
UACGAAGGGGGCUAGCGUUGCUCGGAAUCACUGGGCGUAAAGCGCACGUAGGCGGAUCUUUAAGUCAGGGGUGAAAUCCCAAGGCUCAACCUUGGAACUGCCUUUGAUACUGGGGGAUCUCGAGUCCGGAAGAGGUGAGUGGAACUGCGAGUGUAGAGGUGAAAUUCGUAGAUAUUCGGAAGAACACCAGUGGCGAAGGCGGCUCACUGGACUGGUAUUGACGCUGAGGUGCGAAAGCGUGGGGAGCAAACAGG